rnacentral:rRNA from 1 species
GUGCCAGCCGCCGCGGUAAUACAGAGGUGGCGAGCGUUGUUCGGAAUCAUUGGGCUUAAAGCGUGUGUAGGCGGCGGCGUAAGUGUCGAGUGAAAUCCCAUCGCUCAACGGUGGAACGGCUCGGCAUACUGCGUCGCUUGAGGUCGGUAGAGGCGCCUGGAACUCUAGGUGGAGCGGUGAAAUGCGUAGAUAUCUAGAGGAACGCCUGAGGCGAAAGCGGGGCGCUGGGCCGAUUCUGACGCUGAUACACGAAAGCGUGGGGAGCAAACAGGAUUAGAUACCCUCGUAGUCC